CUACAUGUUCUACCAAACGAUUCAACGCAAUAUUUACAAGUCUUAAUUUCUUGGUUUGAAUGAAGCCAAAGUAGUAAACAUUCAACUAGUGAGCUCGAGAACAGAUUUCUGCUGGCAAUUUUAAUGUUGAAAAUCAACUUUGCCAAAUACAAACGAUGUGACGAGCUGCAAACAUAAAUAAAUAUAGAUAUUUUUAACUAGUGCUGUGCCUUAAGUAAACAAACAAACCCAAAAUUGAAAAAAUCAUAAACAAGUGCAAAACUGUGCAGCAGCAAAAGGCAACAAGCAACAGGCAACAGGAAAGAAGUGUAAAAUUGUAAUUGGGCAAAAGAUAAUCUGCAUACCAAUUGUGAAAGAACAAGAACACCAAACUAGUUUGCAGCACCGACGUCGACGGCGACGGCGACGGCACGAUAACAAGAACGACGCCAAGGUAGUUAACGAGUUGACAAGGGGAGUCCAGGGGCCAGAUAGGCGGGCGGGCGGUGGCAGCGGCUGCGGCUGCGACGCAUGAGCUGCGCAAAAGAGAUAGCAUUAAGUGUGCGAGUGCGAGUGCGAGCGAACGCGAGCGCGUGGAACCAGUUCUCUUUGAAGAGGGGCGGGAGGCACUAUGCAAAGCAACUGAACAACAAGCACAAAAACAGCAGCAACAACUUGAAUCAGGAUGAACGCAAAAUGGAUGCUGGCAACAUUGCUGCUGCUUGCGCCUGCUGCAAUCGGUGGCAGCAGCACGGGCAGCGGCAUCAUCAGCAGCAGCAGCCACGCCCCGCCCGAAAUCAUCUUCCGUCAAUGCGAACCGAUACGCAUCGAGAUGUGCCGCGGCAUUGGCUACAAUGAGACCUCCAUGCCCAACCUGGUCGGUCAUGAGCUGCAAACGGAUGUGGAGUAUACGCUGCAAACGUUUGCGCCGCUCAUCGAAUACGAUUGCAGUUCCCAGCUAAAGCUUUUCCUUUGCGCCGCCUAUGUGCCCAUGUGCACGCCCAAGGCGCCGGUGCAUUCGAUUGGGCCCUGCCGCAGUCUGUGCGAAUCUGUGCGCAUACGCUGCCAUCCAGUGCUGCAGGGUUUCGGCUUUCCCUGGCCGCCUGCGCUUGACUGCGAUCGUUUUCCGCGCGAGAACAAUCACGAGACCAUGUGCAUGGAGGGGCCGGGCGAAACGCAUCUGGCCAUGCAGGAUCAUGAACUUUAUGGCCAGCAGUUGCCCGGCCUUAAAGUGGGCGCACCACUGCCGCUGGACUGCUCGACGCUGGCCAAAUCCCAUUUGUAUGUGAAACUGCAUCGUUCCGGACGCUGUGCGCCACUCUGCGAAGCAGACAUACUGUUCACGCCCAGCGAGAAACAUCUGUCCGAGAUCUGGGUAUCCACCUGGGCGUAUGCUGGCCUGGGACUCGCCUGUGUGGCCACUCUCUGCCUGGUGCUGCUCGGCGGCGAUAAUCGUGGACGAAAUGCCGGCGCCAAAUGGUCGCGUCUAUUGUCGCCGCUGCUCUGGUGCCACAACAUGGUCACCAUCGGGUGGACGGUGCGUUUCAUUGUCGGACGCACGGGCACCGCCUGCGGCACAGAUCCCCAGGCGCCCAACGAAUCUCUGCUGAGUGUCGAUGGUCUCUCCAACGCAGCCUGUGCGAGCGUCUUCCUAUUGCGCUACUACUUUGGCAUGGCUGCCUGCGCCUGGUGGGCCAUUUUAUGCCUGGGCUGGCAUCGCGAUAUACGCCGCAAUAGUCCGGACACCAAAGGUCACAUAGCUCUGCCCGCCAAACGCCAUGGCGGCAGCACCGCCCAGCAGGAUUUGGCGCGCAAUAAUUUUGUUUGCUUUGUGGCCUGGGGAUUGCCGGCGUUUCAAACGGCAGCGGUAAUUGUAAUGCGCCUCGUGGAUGCGGACGAGCUGUUGGGCGCUUGCUUUGUGGGCAAUCAAUCGGAUAAGGCGCUGCAGGUGCUGGUCGCCACGCCCGUCUUUUGCUAUUGGAUCUUUGGCUCGAUGAAUCUAAUCUCUGGCUAUUUGGUGCACUGCCGCAACAAGGAGAUCUUGCGCAACAGCAACGCGUUAAGCCUACAACAGCAACUGCAGCUGGGUGUGCACAACAGCUCUGGCAUUGGCAUCUUUUUGUUUAUCUAUGGCGCCGCCUGUGCCCUGCUGCUGCUUGCGGUCAUCUAUGAGUUUGCCAACAUUGAUGUCUGGCUAAGUCAACGGGAGACGAGCACGCCGCUUUGGCCGUAUUUAACGCGUGCUUUCAUGGAGCUUAUGCUGGGCAUUUGCUGUUUCGCCUGGGUGCUGGGUCCCAGCAUAUCCAGUAUGUACAAGCGCCAGCUGUCCAUGCGUCCGCACAAGCAGGCCGCGGGCGUGGAACGUGCCCACCAUCCACAUCAACAGCAACAGCUGCAACAGCCGCACGCCCAGCACCAUCAUCAUCAGCCAGCGCUCGACGGGCAGAGCAGCUCGCGCGGCUCGCAUAUUGCAUGCAGCAGCACUGUAGUCUCCUAUCAUUCGGUGCGUCCCUCGCAUCAGUCGUUGGUCAGCGCACCGCCGCUCAUUGGCAGCCCCUACAAGCACAAGACGCAAACGGGCGCCGGCUCCAUUUCGCUUAACCAAAUGUCCAAUUAUUCGCUGGGCCGCAGCGUACAGCAAACGCCGACGGCGCACUCCACACAUCGCCUCUACUAUGCGACGCCACAGAAGCAUCAUCAUGGCCAUCAUGCCAACUAUUCCCACUAUCCGCAGCUGCAGCGCUAUGGCAACGAGACGCUGCUGUGAGGUUGACAUGGUUUCUACAGAGACGAGUUCUUCAAGUCUGAUGCCGCACGAAAUGAAUUGCCAAUAGCUGCGGCUAUUUAACAGAACGUUCCUGCCAAGCAAGAAAUACUGUGAUACUGUGAUUCAUUUUUCAAAAGAUUUGAACAAUUCAACAAAAACCCAAUGCAAUUCGAUUGAAAAACGCAUUUUGCGAACCGAAAGUGUACUUAACUUAGAACGGAAUUCUAAACAUAAAUUGUAAUUGUAUUCAAUGUGCCAUUAGCUUAAGAAAAUACUUAAAAA